UAUGUACUCCCUCCGUCCGGAAAUACUUGUCAUCAAAAUGGAUAAAAGAGAUGUAUCUAGAAGUUCUAGAUACAUCUCUUUUUAUCCAUUUUGAUGACAAAUAUUUUCAGACGGAGGAAGUAUAUG
rnacentral:pre_miRNA from 1 species